rnacentral:rRNA from 1 species
UUUCCCCCGGUGGAGGGUGCUGCGGAAGGAU